rnacentral:lncRNA from 1 species
GUGUGAGAGGGCUCUCUGCUGUGGGGCGGUAAAUGUUCCAUCCAUGUGUCCUGCGUGAGGGAUUGACCGCCUCCCCUUUUUUGAAGGCAUCAGUGAGAGCCUAGGUGCCAGCAGCCCCCCUGCAGACCUAACCUCCCAUGAAGCCAUCAGCACAUCUCCAGCCAGUGAGGCCCUGGGGGCCUCCACCAGUGUCAGCACUUCAGGUUUUGAUGCUAGUGUGGUGACUGUCACCCACAUUCCAGACCAAGUUGCAUCUGGAGGAUCCUGGGCACCAACAAGUGAUUCUCAGGCACUCAGAUCCACUGUCAGUUCCACAGGUAAGUAGAAACAUUCUUUAUGAUACCCCUCCAUGGUGUUCUCAUCCUCAUUUCUGAUCUUUGGAGACAGCUAGCAUAUACAGGGCAUACAAAAAAAUCUUUAUGCCCUAGGAAGUUAAAAUAGGUUAACAGAACUAUCCAGCACGGAUCUGGGAGAGAUUCCACUCUCCUCCGAGGACAGAACACUUGUGGGCAUAAGCCCUGUAUCCCAGAAUCUACCCUUGACCAGGGGUACAAAAGCCAGUGCUAAAUCAGGUUCAACCUCAGUUGUUAGAACCACUAUGAGAUUCAUCUAUCACUCAGGCUUUGGGGCAUGAGUGAUUGUGUGUAUAAAACUUUAAGGUUUUGUAAAGUGUUUUAUAGAAUGCUAUCUUAUUUGAUCCUCACAACAACCCUGAAAGAAGUAGGUGCUCUUAUUCCUAUUUUGCAGAUGUGGAAACUGUGACAGAGAGCUUAAGAAUCCUUAUUAGGGAUUAUAUAAAUAGUAAGUGCCUGAUUCAGGGUUCAAACUUAGCUCUUCAUGACGUGCUUCCUUAGACUCUCUUCUCUCUAGGAUUUUCAGGACAUCACUCUCUCCUGGUUCUCCAUCAUGA